rnacentral:pre_miRNA from 1 species
UUUGUACUACCUCCGUCCCAAAAUUAUUGUCUUAAAUUUGUCUAAAUACGGAUGUAUCUAGUUACGUUUUAGUGUUAGAUACAUCUGUAUCCAAACAAAUGUAAGACAAGAAUUUUGGGACGGAGGGAAUACUAC